AACCAUAGAAACCUGCGGAGUACCUGCGGAGGGAUCAUUACAGAGCUGCAAAACUCCCUAAACCAUUGUGAACGUUACCUAAACCGUUGCUUCGGCGGGCGGCCCGGGUCCUUCCCGGCGCCCCUCGGCCCUCGCGGGCGCCCGCCGGAGGUAAACCAAACUAUUGCAUUGUAUGGCCUCUCUGAGUCUUCUGUACUGAAUAAGUCAAAACUUUUAACAACGGAUCUCAGAUCGGAAGAG
rnacentral:misc_RNA from 1 species